rnacentral:rRNA from 1 species
UGCAGGUUACCCGCGACAAGACGGAAAGACCCCAUGGAGCUUUACUGCAGCUUGAUAUUGAAUUUGGGUACGAUCUGUACAGGAUAGGUGGGAGCCGUAGAGGCAGGAGCGCAAGCUUCUGUGGAGGCGCCGUUGGGAUACCACCCUGAUCGUAUCUAGGUUCUAACCUGGUGCCCUUAUCGGGUACGGGGACCGUGUCAGGCGGGCAGUUUGACUGGGGCGGUCGCCUCCUAAAGAGUAACGGAGGCGUUCCAAGGUUCCCUCAGAAUGGUUGGAAAUCAUUCGAAGAGU